AGAGUUUGAUCCUGGCUCAGAACGAACGCUGGCGGCGUGGAUAAGACAUGCAAGUCGGACGAGAUUUUUCGUUGUAGCAAUACGGUGGAAAGUCUAGUGGCGAACGGGUGCGUAACACGUGGGCAAUCUGCCUUAAAGUGGGGGAUAGCUCGGCGAAAGCCGGAUUAAUACCGCAUGUGAUUAGCGGAGACAUCUUCGCGAAAUUAAAGUCGGGGCAACCUGACGCUUUUUGAGGAGCCCGCGGCCUAUCAGCUUGUUGGUGAGGUAACGGCUCACCAAGGCUUUGACGGGUAGCUGGUCUGAGAGGACGACCAGCCACACUGGGACUGAGACACGGCCCAGACACCUACGGGUGGCAGCAGUCGAGAAUUUUUCUCAAUGGGGGAAACCCUGAAGGAGCGACGCCGCGUGGAGGAUGAAGGUCUUCGGAUUGUAAACUCCUGUCAUUGGGGAACAAUGGUUACGCGUUAACUGCGCGUGACUUGAUAGUACUCGAAGAGGAAGAGACGGCUAACUCUGUGCCAGCAGCCGCGGUAAUACAGAGGUUUCAAGCGUUGUUCGGAUUCAUUGGGCGUAAAGGGUGCGUAGGCGGCGCGGUAAGUCGGGUGUGAAAUCUCGGGGCUUAACUCCGAAACUGCAUUCGAUACUGCCGUGCUUGAGGACUGGAGAGGAGACUGGAAUUUACGGUGUAGCAGUGAAAUGCGUAGAUAUCGUAAGGAAGACCAGUGGCGAAGGCGGGUCUCUGGACAGUUCCUGACGCUGAGACACGAAGGCCAGGGGAGCAAACGGGAUUAGAUACCCCCGUAGUCC
rnacentral:rRNA from 1 species